UACGGAGGGUGCAAGCGUUAUCCGGAUUCACUGGGGUUAAAGGGUGCGUAGGCGGACAGGUAAGUCAGUGGUGAAAUCUCCGAGCUUAACUUGGAAACUGCCGUUGAUACUAUCUGCCUUGAAUAUUGUGGAGGUGAGCGGAAUAUGUCAUGUAGCGGUGAAAUGCUUAGAUAUGACAUAGAACACCAAUUGCGAAGGCAGCUCGCUACACAUAUAUUGACUCUGAGGCACGAAAGCGUGGGGAUCAAACAGG
rnacentral:rRNA from 1 species